UACGUAGGGGGCAAGCGUUGUCCGGAUUUAUUGGGCGUAAAGAGCGUGUAGGCGGCCAGGGAGGUCCGUUGUGAAAACUCGAGGCUCAACCUCGAGACGCCGAUGGAAACCCCCUGGCUAGAGUCCGGAAGAGGAGAAUGGAAUUCCUGGUGUAGCGGUGAAAUGCGCAGAUAUCAGGAAGAACACCCGUGGCUAAGGCGGUUCUCUAGUACGGUACUGGACGCUGAGAACGCGGAAAGCGUGGGGAGCGAACAGG
rnacentral:rRNA from 1 species